AACGAACGCUGGCGGCAGGCCUAACACAUGCAAGUCGAACGGGUGUAGCAAUACAUCAGUGGCAGACGGGUGAGUAGCACGUGGGAACCUUCCUAGGGGUACGGAACAACUCAGGGAAACUUGAGCUAAUACCGUAUACGUACGUGAGGAGAAAGAUUUAUCGCCCUUAGACGGGCCCGCGUCGGAUUAGCUAGUUGGUGGGGUAACGGCCUACCAAGGCGACGAUCCGUAGCUGAUCUUAGAGGAUGAUCAGCCACAUUGGGACUGAGACACGGCCCAAACUCCUACGGGAGGCAGCAGUGGGGAAUCUUGCGCAAUGGGCGAAAGCCUGACGCAGCCAUGCCGCGUGAAUGAUGAAGGUCUUAGGAUUGUAAAAUUCUUUCACCGGGGACGAUAAUGACGGUACCCGGAGAAGAAGCCCCGGCUAACUUCGUGCCAGCCGCCGCCGUAA
rnacentral:rRNA from 1 species